UAUUGUAGUCUCUGAAAUACGGAGCAAGCAAAGGAAGGUAAUAUAAUAAUGGGGCUAAGCCGUGGAUGCAUCCAGGGUAUAGUGGAGUGUGAUCGUAACGUAUACCCUGGAGAUUAUCG